GGGUUGUGAGGUUAAGCGACUAAGCGUACACGGUGGAUGCCACGGCAGUCAGAGGCGAUGAAGGACGUGCUAAUCUGCGAUAAGCGUCGGUAAGGUGAUAUGAACCGUUAUAACCGGCGAUUUCCGAAUGGGGAAACCCAGUGUGUUUCGACACACUAUCAUUAACUGAAUCCAUAGGUUAAUGAGGCGAACCGGGGGAACUGAAACAUCUAAGUACCCCGAGGAAAAGAAAUCAACCGAGAUUCCCCCAGUAGCGGCGAGCGAACGGGGAGCAGCCCAGAGCCUGAAUCAGUGUGUGUGUUAGUGGAAGCGUCUGGAAAGGCGCGCGAUACAGGGUGACAGCCCCGUACACAAAAAUGCACAUGCUGUGAGCUCGAUGAGUAGGGCGGGACACGUGGUAUCCUGUCUGAAUAUGGGGGACCAUCCUCCAAGGCUAAAUACUCCUGACUGACCGAUAGUGAACCAGUACCGUGAGGGAAAGGCGAAAAGAACCCCGGCGAGGGGAGUGAAAAAGAACCUGAAACCGUGUACGUACAAGCAGUGGGAGCACGCUUAGGCGUGUGACUGCGUACCUUUUGUAUAAUGGGUCAGCGACUUAUAUUCUGUAGCAAGGUUAACCGAAUAGGGGAGCCGAAGGGAAACCGAGUCUUAACUGGGCGUUAAGUUGCAGGGUAUAGACCCGAAACCCGGUGAUCUAGCCAUGGGCAGGUUGAAGGUUGGGUAACACUAACUGGAGGACCGAACCGACUAAUGUUGAAAAAUUAGCGGAUGACUUGUGGCUGGGGGUGAAAGGCCAAUCAAACCGGGAGAUAGCUGGUUCUCCCCGAAAGCUAUUUAGGUAGCGCCUCGUGAAUUCAUCUCCGGGGGUAGAGCACUGUUUCGGCAAGGGGGUCAUCCCGACUUACCAACCCGAUGCAAACUGCGAAUACCGGAGAAUGUUAUCACGGGAGACACACGGCGGGUGCUAACGUCCGUCGUGAAGAGGGAAACAACCCAGACCGCCAGCUAAGGUCCCAAAGUCAUGGUUAAGUGGGAAACGAUGUGGGAAGGCCCAGACAGCCGGGAUGUUGGCUUAGAAGCAGCCAUCAUUUAAAGAAAGCGUAAUAGCUCACUGGUCGAGUCGGCCUGCGCGGAAGAUGUAACGGGGCUAAACCAUGCACCGAAGCUGCGGCAGCGACGCUUAUGCGUUGUUGGGUAGGGGAGCGUUCUGUAAGCCUGCGAAGGUGUGCUGUGAGGCAUGCUGGAGGUAUCAGAAGUGCGAAUGCUGACAUAAGUAACGAUAAAGCGGGUGAAAAGCCCGCUCGCCGGAAGACCAAGGGUUCCUGUCCAACGUUAAUCGGGGCAGGGUGAGUCGACCCCUAAGGCGAGGCCGAAAGGCGUAGUCGAUGGGAAACAGGUUAAUAUUCCUGUACUUGGUGUUACUGCGAAGGGGGGACGGAGAAGGCUAUGUUGGCCGGGCGACGGUUGUCCCGGUUUAAGCGUGUAGGCUGGUUUUCAGGCAAAUCCGGAAAAUCAAGGCUGAGGCGUGAUGACGAGGCACUACGGUGCUGAAGCAACAAAUGCCCUGCUUCGAGGAAAAGCCUCUAAGCAUCAGGUAACAUCAAAUCGUACCCCAAACCGACACAGGUGGUCAGGUAGAGAAUACCAAGGCGCUUGAGAGAACUCGGGUGAAGGAACUAGGCAAAAUGGUGCCGUAACUUCGGGAGAAGGCACGCUGAUAUGUAGGUGAAGUCCCUCGCGGAUGGAGCUGAAAUCAGUCGAAGAUACCAGCUGGCUGCAACUGUUUAUUAAAAACACAGCACUGUGCAAACACGAAAGUGGACGUAUACGGUGUGACGCCUGCCCGGUGCCGGAAGGUUAAUUGAUGGGGUUAGCCGCAAGGCGAAGCUCUUGAUCGAAGCCCCGGUAAACGGCGGCCGUAACUAUAACGGUCCUAAGGUAGCGAAAUUCCUUGUCGGGUAAGUUCCGACCUGCACGAAUGGCGUAAUGAUGGCCGGGCUGUCUCCACCCGAGACUCAGUGAAAUUGAACUCGCUGUGAAGAUGCAGUGUACCCGCGGCAAGACGGAAAGACCCCGUGAACCUUUACUAUAGCUUGACACUGAACAUUGAGCCUUGAUGUGUAGGAUAGGUGGGAGGCUUUGAAGUGUGGACGCCAGUCUGCAUGGAGCCGACCUUGAAAUACCACCCUUUAAUGUUUGAUGUUCUAACGUUGACCCGUAAUCCGGGUUGCGGACAGUGUCUGGUGGGUAGUUUGACUGGGGCGGUCUCCUCCUAAAGAGUAACGGAGGAGCACGAAGGUUGGCUAAUCUGGUCGGACAUCAGGAGGUUAGUGCAAUGGCAUAAGCCAGCUUGACUGCGAGCGUGACGGCGCGAGCAGGUGCGAAAGCAGGUCAUAGUGAUCCGGUGGUUCUGAAUGGAAGGGCCAUCGCUCAACGGAUAAAAGGUACUCCGGGGAUAACAGGCUGAUACCGCCCAAGAGUUCAUAUCGACGGCGGUGUUUGGCACCUCGAUGUCGGCUCAUCACAUCCUGGGGCUGAAGUAGGUCCCAAGGGUAUGGCUGUUCGCCAUUUAAAGUGGUACGCGAGCUGGGUUUAGAACGUCGUGAGACAGUUCGGUCCCCUAUCUGCCGUGGGCGCUGGAGAACUGAGGGGGGCUGCUCCUAGUACGAGAGGACCGGAGUGGACGCAUCACUGGUGUUCGGGUUGUCAUGCCAAUGGCACUGCCCGGUAGCUAAAUGCGGAAGAGAUAAGUGCUGAAAGCAUCUAAGCACGAAACUUGCCCCGAGAUGAGUUCUCCCUGACUCCUUGAGAGUCCUGAAGGAACGUUGAAGACGACGACGUUGAUAGGCCGGGUGUGUAAGCGCAGCGAUGCGUUGAGCUAACCGGUACUAAUGAACCGUGAGGCUUAACCUUACAACGCCGAAGGUGUUU
rnacentral:rRNA from 1 species